ACCAAGAUAACAAUGUUAUUCAAGGUUUGAUCAUUCACCUUCUGCAUACUUAUACAUAUUUUAUAUCUUUGAACAUAUUUCUAAGUUCAUGGCUAUUGUGGUGCUUAGUUGUAUAAUCAGACAGGGAUAGAAUUUUUGUCACCAAGUAAACUACAACAAUUCCUAUUGUGAUUGGUAUAUUUGGCGAUUUCUGGCUUUCAUAGUAGUCAAGGUUCUUAAACUCACUUUUUUAACCUAGAAUUGUUGAGGUGUGUCUAAACUCAAAAAUUGAGUUGUAAAAUCGUAAGAUUUUAAGAACCAUAUAAAAUAAUCUUAAAAAGUAUUUAGAUCAUUAUAAAAGCUAUAAGUUUUCUAAUAUAUUGUUAAGUCUAAUAAUCAAAUUAUUUUAAUUUUAAAUGUAACAUUUUCUUCAACAAGGUAUCAAUAUGAGAAUGACUAAAGUUAUUUAGUAUUCUG
rnacentral:misc_RNA from 1 species